AUGGCUUUAACUGUACAGCAUGGUUAAUUGCAUUAUUAACUAAAUUAAUUGUGUUAGGGCAAACAUCGUCGAUCCAAGCUUCGAAACAACUAGCUGCAUGCACGUGUCUACGUUGUAUCUCAUGUUGCACUUCGAUCACCAUUAGAAUUCAUUAUCACUUGGGGAACUCCCCUACCAGUUGUUAGUCAUUAGAGUUACAAAGCUCACUGAUUGGUCCAUACGUUUACACAUUGUGUGUGUUCUAGAAACUUCCACCAAUCACACGCAUGUAUGUUUAUACCUACUAGCCUGUAUUGUAGCAACCAUAUUGUGCGGCCAUACAAGUAAUCUUGAAACUGUUGCUGUGCUCUAUGAUAAUGUCCAGAAGUUCUAUUACGCAAACUCAUUUUAUUGCACUGCAACUGUUGUCUGCAGCGUUUGUGCUUUGCAAGCCACCGGAUUCGGAUAAGCCUGCAGGCGAGCACGUGCAUGGAAGAGAGAAGAUUGGAGAUACCGAACACUAUGUGGAUGGCGUGCAUAACCCGGAGUAUGAUCGUCAAGUUUUGUUGGGUGAGGAUGAAGCAACGGAGUUUGAUAAGUUGAGCUUAGAAGAAAGGAAAGAGAGGCUCAAAAUUGUCUUUCAAAAGAUCGACAAAGAUGAAGAUGGACUUUUGACAAGAGAAGAGUUGAAAAAUUGGGCGAAUCACGUUUACUCUAGAAAUCACAGGAUUGACACUGAGAAGCACUGGGAUGAGCAUGAGAGAGCUGACAAGGAUAAGUUGAGAUGGUCGGAGUUUUUAGCUCUAGGCUAUGGAGUGAGUUCUGAAACAGAGCUAGAGGAGAGACCGGAGUUUACUGACAAGUUCAGACAAAGGCUCUUGCGUGAAAAGCGCCGAUGGAUGGUAGCAGACAAAAAUAAAGACAAGAUACUUACACUAGCAGAGUAUUACGACUUUCUUCAUCCUGAAGAUUCGAACGACACAAAACACGUUUACGUUGAAGAGCAAUUUGAAUUCAUGGACAAAAACCGGGACAAAAUCGUGACAGUGCAAGAAUACAUAGUACCCCAGCACUCAUUCACAUCCCAGCUGUUGAUGACAUGUAUCCACCUGAUUCAAGAGCGAAAGAUGUUGAAGAACCAGACUGGGUUAAAGCUCAACGAGAGCAGUUUGAUCAAUACUUCGACAAGAACAAAGAUGGCAAAAUGGACAAGCAGGAAGUGAAGAUGAUGAUGUUUCCAGAAAAUUACGACCGCGAUGAUGCUGAAGCAGCACAUCUCAUUUAUCAUGCAGACACUGAUGAGGAUGAAAAGCUGUCGGAGGAGGAAGUCAUGAAAAAGUACGAUAUCUUUGAAAACAGCCAUGCCAUCGACUUUGGCAACGUGCUCGUUCAUCACGAUGAAUUCUGAUCUCUUCACUAUAUCGAGUAUCAAACUGGACUCUGAUUUGAUGUUUGACCCUUCAUCUGUGUGAAACGUUGAACUGUGUAUGUAUGUGUGUCUGUGUUUACAUGCUGCAUAUGCAUGCUCUUUGAGGUCAAGAUCUUGUGUCCAUUGAGCACUAUAGUCUUGAUAUGUUGAUUGUGAAUUUCAAGCAUUAAAUUCUUUCCCAGCUCAAAAAUUGAUU